rnacentral:lncRNA from 1 species
CCCUGUACUGCUCGAGUGGAGCAGAGCGCAUCGCUCCAGCGUGCGUUGAUCGCGUCCGCCCAAGUCGGCCUGCUGCUGUUGUUGACCUAGGCGCCAAGGCCAAGCUGCCUCUGCUCCAGCCCAACACCGAGCCGGCCCAAGUGUCGUGGUGAGAAACCAAGUCCACUCGAGAUUCAGCCCCUUGUGUUUUUUUACUCCACCUGCGAUUUUCACAUUUAUCCAGAGAACGCCUAUUUUGCAGAAAAACCCUUCUAGUUCAUGCAUUUAAUAACUCUUCAACCAUGCAUCAGUUUAAAAUGAUUUAAAUAUGUAAAAUACUUAGAAUUUCAUUUACUUUCACAAUUUGCAACUUUCAUCCAUGCUUAAAAUGUUAACUUGUUGUUUGAAUUAAUUUGCAUAAAUAACAUGCUAAAAUGGUUUAUUUCAUAACUAUUUAACCGUAGCUCGGUUUUUAAUAAACUUUAUAUGUAAAUGGGGUAGAAAAAUGCAUAGAUUAACAUGGUGGCAUUACUUUUCAUGUUUAACAACAAUAAAACAUGGUUUAGGGCAGAACAGUACCACAUUCUAAAUAUGCACAUGGGGAUUUUCCGGAAUUGUUGUUUUUUGUUCCGGCCUCAUUUAAACUUGCCUAGAUAGGUAGUUUUAUUAUGUUUUACCUCAUGCCAUGUUAACCAACAUUUAAUCUUGUCUUGUUCAUAAAAAAAGAGUGAACUAAAUAAUUGAACGUGGCGUUUCGUCAAUAUGCAACUCGGUGCAUAUUGAGCUCCACUUAAUUUGUAGUGUUUUUUGUUGCACUUUGCCAUGCCAUGAAUCAUUAAACUGGACAUGCAUCAUACUUGGUUGUGCAUCAUGUCAUGUGUAUGUGAUGGUUGUUUACCAUGAUGUUUGCUUCUUUCCGGUUGCGCUUCUCCUUGAUAGUUCCGGUUAUGUUGCGAUUGUGAGGAUCCGUUCGACUAUGUUGGUUCGUUUACUUCAUGGACUCGGUCUUCUUCCUAGCGGGAUUUCAGGCAAGAUGACCGUUACCCUGGACCUCACUACUAUCAUUGCUAUGCUAGUUGUCUCGAUGCUAUCGCUAUGUUGCUCUUCCUACCACUUGUUUAUCAAGCCUCCAAAUUUCCAUGACCGCCUAUAACCUUUUUCACCCUUCAUAGCAAACCAUUGUUUGGCUAUGUUACCGCUUUGCUCAGACCCUCUUAUAGCGUUGCUAGUUGCAGGUUGUUCCAUGUUGGGACAUGGAUAUCUUGGGAUAUCAUAAUAUCUCUUAUUCAAUUAAUGCAUAUAUAUAUACUUGGUAAAGGGUGGAAGGCUCGGCAUUUUGCCCGGUGUUUCCACUCUUGCCGCCCUAGUUUCCAUCAUACCGGUGUUAUAUUCCUUGAUUUUGCGUCCCUAACACGAUGAGGGUUUAUGGGCCCCUUUUGACAAUUAUCUUUGAAUAAAACUCUUCCAGCAAGGCCCAACAUUGGUUUUAUCAUUUGCCUCAUAAUAACUUGCAUAGGGGAUAUUUCUCCAGACCCCGAGUAAUUUUAAUCAACCCACCUGGGCCAGUGCUCCUCUAAGUGUUGGUCCGGACCGAGGAGCCUGCAGGGCCACCUGGGGGAAACUCGAGGGCUGGUUUUACUCGUAGCUUGUCUCAUCCAUGGUGCCCUGAGAACGAGAUACGUGCGGCUCCAAUCAGGAUUUGUCGGAACACUGGGAGGUCUUACUGGUUUUGUUUUACCAUUGUCAAAAUGUCUUGUGCACCAAGAUCCCGAGUCUGAUCGGAUGUCCCGCAGUAGAGGAUUGUCUCGCGGAUCAUGAGCUUGUCAUGGGCUAAGUUGGGACAUCCCCGUAGGGUUUGAUCUUUCGAAAGUCGUGCCCGCGGAUAUGUGGCAGAUGGGGGUUUUAAAUAUCCAGUUGUAGCGAACUUGACACCAGAUUCGAACUAAAAUACCCAACCGCGUGUGUAACCGUGAUGGUCUCUUUUCGAGUGGGUCGAGAAGAGAACACGGUGGGGUUAUGUUUUUGACGUAAAUAGUUCGGGAUCACUUCUUGUUCAUUACUAGUUUGCGACCGUUUACGUAGCUUCUCAUCUCAUUCUUGUAUUCGUAAGUUAGUCACCAUACAUUGCUUAGUUGCUUGCUGCAACCUCACCACUUUACCCCUUCCAUACCCAUUAAGCUUUGCUAGUCUUGAUACCCAUGGUAAUGGGAUUGCUGAGUCCUGGUGGCUCACAGAUUACUACAACAAUAGUUGCAGGUACAGGUAAUGCGAUGCUCUGACGCGAGUGCGAUGCUUGAUUCCUUUUGGAGUACUUAUUCUUCGAUCAAGGGAAAUAGGUUCCAGGUCGGGGAGCCUGGGUUAGCAUGGUGGAUGUCGUUCUUCUUUUUCGUUUGAUUUCAUCCGUAGUCAGAUCCUGCUCUUCUACAUGAUGAAUGCUAUGUAUUGAUGUAUUGUUGUAUGAAUGUUGUAACUUGUGGCGAGUAUAAGCCUUUAUCUCGUAUUCCCAUCUAUUCAGUACAUGGUAUGUUGUAAUUGUUGGGUAACGCAGUAAUUUCAAAAAAAUUCCUACGCA